AAAUGAAGAGUCUCAGUCGGCGGGGACUCUAUUCUUAUCUCUUGCUUCACACCUGGAUCCAUGCCCAUAUCUCAAUGCCAAAUUUGAUUUUGCUUGAGCCUUUUGGCAUUAAGAGAGUGGACCCAGUAAGGGUGGGUGACAAUGGAUGGUGAGUCAUAUUCUUAUCUCCUGCCUAAUUUGAAUAUGAUCCGAAUUAGAGAUAAGGUGAUAAGAAGGAAAGGAUUUUUUCAAACAAGGAAAGAAGGUGGCACC
rnacentral:lncRNA from 1 species